rnacentral:rRNA from 1 species
AUGAACGCUGGCGGCGUGCCUAAUACAUGCAAGUCGAGCGAACAGACGAGGAGCUUGCUCCUCUGACGUUAGCGGCGGACGGGUGAGUAACACGUGGAUAACCUACCUAUAAGACUGGGAUAACUUCGGGAAACCGGAGCUAAUACCGGAUAAUAUAUUGAACCGCAUGGUUCAAUAGUGAAAGACGGUUUUGCUGUCACUUAUAGAUGGAUCCGCGCCGCAUUAGCUAGUUGGUAAGGUAACGGCUUACCAAGGCAACGAUGCGUAGCCGACCUGAGAGGGGCAACGCCCAAACUGGAACUGAGACACGGUCCAGAUUCCGCCGGGAGGCGGCGGUAGGGAAUCUUCCGCAAUGGGCGAAAGCCUGACGGAGCAACGCCGCGUGAUUGAUGAAGGUCUUCUGAUCGUAAACCUCUGUUAUUAGGGAAGAACAAAUGUGUAUGUACCUAUGCGCGUCUUGACGGUACCUAAUCAGAAAGCCACGGCUAACUCCGUG